UCUCCUGAGCAACUUGGCAUGAUUCUUCCUCUUUCCUCUCAUGCAGGUAACAAGGAGAUGACCAGAGGUAGCCUCGGUCCUUGUCAUGUUGUGCAAGGGUCUUUCCUCUCUCUACUGUCCAUCCUUUGCAUGUCCAGAGAGUCCAAAAGGUUGAUGAGUGGACAAUCUGGCUCUUCAAGUGAUGAAUCUCAAUACACUUGCUCGAGUUCCUCACUCUCCAUGAUAAUCCUGUGGCUCUCUGGAAAGGGCUCCUGCCAGCUCUGUGCCAAGGCUAGACCUGAGGGUCUUCAUAGAGUGCUUUACUGAGAUAUGCUUCUGAGGUACAAGGGGACCUUCUCUAAGUUAAAGACUCUUCCCUCUGAGGGUUGCAGGGAGAGGGUGUGGAGCAAGGCAGAGGACCUGAGAAUAAUCUAUUUGAAGCCAUCUGGAAAACUUUCAGCUGCUGGGCGAUAGAGCAUAGGAAAUUAUGCAGAGAAACUCCUUUGGGGAAUUCCAGGAAGAGAGUAAUCUUCCCAGGUGCUCAAGACCUGCAGCAGGCCUGGAGAACAAAGACAAUUCUCCAACUCAAAAAUCUGUCACCAGGCAGGAAGCAGAAAGAGUUUCCACAGAUGGGAAAGCUGGUGGCUCAGCUAUAAAUUACAGAGACUCCUGGAAUCUUUCCCAUGCUCAGAACCCAAGUUCUACAAAACAGAAAGUCCCGAUCCUGCUUUCAAAAUAUUUUGAUUCAGCAGUAACAGAACCAAACUAAAGCUACAGCAAAACCCAGACCCACCUGAACUACAGGUUAGAUUUUACCUCUCUAGUCAACUGGCAGAAGAAGGGGUGCACCCUUUUCUGAUGGUAAAUACUGUUUACUUCAGUUACUAAUGUUGUUGUAUACAGACCACUUGACAUACUGUAAAAGAUUCCAAGACACACAAAGAAGCAAUAAAAUGUGACCCUGGUAAAGAGAAGGAACAGUCAAUAGGAGAAAACCCAUAGAGGUAACAGAUGUGGGAAUAAUCAGACAUGGACUUUUCAACAACUAUAAUAAAGAAUAAUAAAGAUCCAGGGUAAAAACUGAACUACAAAUGGAAUAAAUAAAAACCAAUAAUGAAAUUUCUAAAGAAUUACUGUAGAAUAAGAGAAAUAGAAAAUCACAACCAGAAAACCACAGUAAUAAUUACUGCUGGCCAGAUCCAUUGAUAAAUGCUAAAAUUCAUGGGCAAAACUUUAAGGAGAAAAAAUGUAUUUGUAUAACCUCAAAAUACCUUCUCCAAAAUGUUUGUUGAUGGCUAUGGUGGCUUUACAUAUGUUCGGAGAUUCUAUUUUUACUUCUCCCUUCAGGAGUUGGACCUUAAUUCCACUCCUCUUGAGUAUGUGCUUGAUUUAGUGACUCACUUCCAAAGAAUAUAGUAUAAAAAGGAAAAAAAAUUUUGGCUUUUGCUGCUGUUGCUUUUGGUGUUUUAGACAUGAAGUCUUUGCCCAUGCCUAUGUCCUGAAUGGUACUACCUAGGUUUUCCUCUAGGGUUUUUAUGGUAUUAGGUCUAACAUUUAAGUCUCUAAUCCAUCUUGAAUUAAUUUUUGUAUAAGGAGUAAGGAAAGGAUCCAGUUUCAGCUUUCUACUUAUGGCUAGCCAAUUUUCCCAGCACCAUUUAUUAAAUAAGGAAUCCUUUCCCCAUUUCUUGUUUCUCUCAGGUUUGUCAAAGAUCAGAUGGCUGUAGAUGUGUGGUAUUAUUUCUGAGGACUCUGUUCUGUUCCAUUGGUCUAUAUCUCUGUUUUGGUACCAGUACCAUGCUGUUUUGGUUACUGUAGCCUUGUAGUAUAGUUUGAAGUCAGGUAGUGUGAUGCCUCCAGUUUUGUUCUUUUGACUUAGGAUUGUCUUGGAGACGCAGGCUCUUUUUUGGUUCCAUAUGAACUUUAAAGCAGUUUUUUCCAAUUCUGUGAAGAAACUCAUUGGUAGCUUGAUGGGGAUGGCAUUGAAUCUAUAAAUUACCUUGGGCAGUAUGGCCAUUUUCAC
ensembl:lncRNA